GUUUCUUACUGUCUAUGAGAGGCACCAAUGGGGUAUAUAACGUGAUUGCAUUAGUAAAUCUAUAUAAAAAACACUAUUCUAUCCUACUGAGCACCCCGUAGUUUUCCCGCAAAAAUGUCAAGAAAACCAAGGCACCAGUAAACCUAGUUUAGUUGCCGAUACUACACCUGGACAUUGGAUCGAUGCCACGGAGGAACUCUAACUGACCACAUGAGAAAGUCUUCGUCGCCUUGUCAAUCAUGCUAAACGUGGUGUAGCAAACGCAACGAUAAAACUGGUCGAUUAAAAUGGAUAGCCACGUCUUUGCCUUUUCAGCCUCAGUUUUGAUUUACCCAAACCAUGUAGACAUUAUAAGAUAUAUUUAUGUGACCAACUUUCACAGCUUUUGACAUUGUUUUCAAAACAUUUUUUUUUUAAACUGGUUUCGUUUGAAUUCUAAAGAUAAACUUAACUGACCGUGAAACGAGUGUCACCGAUGUACCGAAUAGCUACUCAAAAUGGCAUAUUCAUUUUACAUAAGAUUUUAUUCCUUUCUUUUAAAAAAUAAUAUUGAUAUUUUACAAAAAGGAAGGCUAAGAAAUGACUACGGUAUCGAUGACUUACCCGGGGAGGAAAAUACUAAUUGAGCGAGUUAUAUAACCAACAGUAUUCUGGCCUUGAAAUUGUUUGUUAAAUUAAGCUUGGUAAUUGCGACUUACCCGUUAAAAGUGACAAAUUGUUUCGUUUGCUUAGUUCCAUACGUGACAUAACAUCCAAUUUCAUGUCAUUCAAUAACAACUAGUAACUGAUUUAUAUUUGUUUUCUUAUGAGUACAUAGUUAGCAGAAUGGCCACAAAGA